rnacentral:rRNA from 1 species
UACGGGAGGGUGCAAGCGUUAUCCGGAUUCACUGGGGUUUAAAGGGUGCGUAGGUGGGCAGGUAAGUCAGUGGUGAAAUCUCCGGGCUUAACCCGGAAACUGCCAUUGAUACUAUCUGUCUUGAAUACCGUGGAGGUGAGCGGAAUAUGUCAUGUAGCGGUGAAAUGCUUAGAUAUGACAUAGAACACCAAUUGCGAAGGCAGCUCACUACACGAAUAUUGACACUGAGGCACGAAAGCGUGGGGAGUCAAACAGGA